GUGACCGCUUGCAGCACAUAUCCUGAAAUUGGAACGAUACAGAGAAGGUUAGCAUGGCCUCUGCACAAGGACAACACACAAAUUUGUGAAGUGUUCCAUAUUUUU
ensembl:snRNA U6 U6 spliceosomal RNA